UGGAGCUUUGUUGCUUUGGCAGUUAAUAAUUUGUGCAAGGCAUCUCAUUGACUUCAGUGGUGCUGUUUUAACCUAACUCUACUAUGUCUAGUUAUUCUUCAGUAUGCACACAGCAGUUUUAGAGGGUUUCUUGUCCAGAAGUGACCCAAUAGACCUGAUUUAUUAAUAAGUUUAUGGAUGCCUGUUGUGCUUGGAACUGAUCUCAGUAAAUUUACUAUAAAAUUUUCUCUAGUGGAACCAUAUUUCACAUGUAGGAAGACAUGAUGUUAAACACAGUUACUCUUUUGUGUGAAUAAUUUUAGCAGCAAUUGUUAGCACUUGGUGUUGUCAUGCAGUUCCUGCCAGGAGCCAGGAAGUGAGAGUUGUAUUUUACAUUGUCAGUAUAUGCACUAUAUUUUGAGUGUAUUAAAUAGAUGUUCAUCCCUGGCACACUGUAAUCAUCUGUGUUGAGUUCAAGGGUGUCAAGGAACAGAAACUGGCUUAAAGCAAUACUACUGCUGUGUAUACAUUUUUCACACACUUGAUGGUGAUUUUAUGACAUUCAUCAAGUGACUGCUGUAAGCAUCCAUACAUCUGCUAUAAAUUCAUAAUUGAUCUACGUCAGAUAGGACACUGUCGAUUCCUCAUUUACACAGAAGUGUGGAAGACUGACAGUACGCUGACAGGAGAGAAUCAUGCUCCAGUGUCACUCCGUCCAUCAAAAAUUCCACAUGGGCGGCUCUGAGAUUGAAUGGUAGCCUCCAAAGUGAGAAGUCAGGAUCUAAAGUCCAGGGAUACAGCAUGCUGACUUCAGAUAAUACUGU